rfam:Sphingopyxis alaskensis RB2256, complete genome.
CCUCCAUCCCCGGGGAGCCUGUCGCGCAAAAGCAGGUUGAGAGCGGAAUAAACCGCGACCCGUUGAACCUGAUCCGGGUAAUACCGGCGGAGGGAGGGUUGGCUUUCACCCC